rnacentral:rRNA from 1 species
GACGAACGCUGGCGGCGUGCCUAAUACAUGCAAGUCGAACGCUUCUUUCCUCCCGAGUGCUUGCACUCAAUUGGAAAGAGGAGUGGCGGACGGGUGAGUAACACGUGGGUAACCUACCCAUCAGAGGGGGAUAACACUUGGAAACAGGUGCUAAUACCGCAUACCGUUUUUUCCCCAUUGCAUUAGAGUUAAAGGCGCUUUCGGGUGUCGCUGAUGGGUGGACCCGCGGUGCAUUAGCUAGUUGGUGAGGUAACGGCUCACCAAGGCCACGAUGCAUAGCCGACCUGAGAGGGUGAUCGGCCACACUGGGACUGAGACACGGCCCAGACUCCUACGGGAGGCAGCAGUAGGGAAUCUUCGGCAAUGGACGAAAGUCUGACCGAGCAACGCCGCGUGAGUGAAGAAGGUUUUCGGAUCGUAAAACUCUGUUGUUAGAGAAGAACAAGGACGUUAGUAACUGAACGUCCCCUGACGGUAUCUAACCAGAAAGCCACGGCUAACUACGUG